rnacentral:pre_miRNA from 1 species
GGCCCAAAUCUGAAGUAAGGUAGAUUGGUAAGGUCAGCUGAUCCUACUGUUCUACUAAACUUCGAAAAUGGGCCC